AAAUUAUAUAUUUUUUUUAUAUUUAUAUAAUAUUAACAUAAUUCAUAUUACUAUAUUAUAUUAGUAUAUGAAAUUUUACUUUGAGAAAAUUAGAGUGCUUAAAGCAGGCAUAUGCCUUGAAUACUCCAGCAUGGAAUAAUAUAAAAGAUUUUUAUCUUUUUUAUUGGUUCUAAGAUAAAAAUAAUGAUUAAUAGGGACAGUUGGGGGCAUUUGUAUUUAACAGUCAGAGGUGAAAUUCUUAGAUUUGUUAAAGACAAACUAGUGCGAAAGCAUUUGCCAAGGAUGUUUUCAUUAAUCAAGAACGAAAGUUAGGGGAUCGAAGACGAUCAGAUACCGUCGUAGUCUUAACCAUAAACUAUGCCAACUAGAGAUUGGAGGUUGUUCCUUACUCCUUCAGCACCUUAA
rnacentral:rRNA from 1 species